rnacentral:rRNA from 1 species
AGCGGCGGACGGGUGAGUAAUGCCUAGGAAUCUGCCUGGUAGUGGGGGAUAACGUUCGGAAACGGACGCUAAUACCGCAUACGUCCUACGGGAGAAAGCAGGGGACCUUCGGGCCUUGCGCUAUCAGAUGAGCCUAGGUCGGAUUAGCUAGUUGGUGGGGUAAUGGCUCACCAAGGCGACGAUCCGUAACUGGUCUGAGAGGAUGAUCAGUCACACUGGAACUGAGACACGGUCCAGACUCCUACGGGAGGCAGCAGUGGGGAAUAUUGGACAAUGGGCGAAAGCCUGAUCCAGCCAUGCCGCGUGUGUGAAGAAGGUCUUCGGAUUGUAAAGCACUUUAAGUUGGGAGGAAGGGUUGUAGAUUAAUACUCUGCAAUUUUGACGUUACCGACAGAAUAAGCACCGGCUAACUCUGUGCCAGCAGCCGCGGUAAUACAGAGGGUGCAAGCGUUAAUCGGAAUUACUGGGCGUAAAGCGCGCGUAGGUGGUUAGUUAAGUUGGAUGUGAAAUCCCCGGGCUCAACCUGGGAACUGCAUUCAAAACUGACUGACUAGAGUAUGGUAGAGGGUGGUGGAAUUUCCUGUGUAGCGGUGAAAUGCGUAGAUAUAGGAAGGAACACCAGUGGCGAAGGCGACCACCUGGACUGAUACUGACACUGAGGUGCGAAAGCGUGGGGAGCAAACAGGAUUAGAUACCCUGGUAGUCCACGCCGUAAAC